GACGAACGCUGGCGGCGUGCUUAACACAUGCAAGUCGAACGCUGAAGCUCAGCUUUUGUUGGGUGGAUGAGUGGCGAACGGGUGAGUAACACGUGAGUAACCUGCCCCCUUCUUUGGGAUAACGCCCGGAAACGGGUGCUAAUACCGGAUAUUCACUGGUCUUCGCAUGGGGGUUGGUGGAAAGGGUUUUUCUGGUGGGGGAUGGGCUCGCGGCCUAUCAGCUUGUUGGUGGGGUGAUGGCCUACCAAGGCUUUGACGGGUAGCCGGCCUGAGAGGGUGACCGGUCACAUUGGGACUGAGAUACGGCCCAGACUCCUACGGGAGGCAGCAGUGGGGAAUAUUGCACAAUGGGCGCAAGCCUGAUGCAGCGACGCCGCGUGAGGGAUGGAGGCCUUCGGGUUGUGAACCUCUUUCGCUCAUGGUCAAGCCGCAACAAUGGUUGUGGUGAGGGUAGUGGGUAAAGAAGCGCCGGCUAACUACGUG
rnacentral:rRNA from 1 species